rnacentral:lncRNA from 1 species
CACACACACUUAUUUGUAUUGUAUAUAAUAAAUUUAAUUAAGAUAAAAACAAAAAUCCUAGGCCACCAAUUAAGACCCUACCCACCACUCAAUAACAACCUAGCGAUGUUUAAAACAUUGGUGUGAAAGGAUUAUGUCUGGAAAUCAAAAAUAAAAUUUCUUGAUUAUGCUCCCUCAGUUGAUUCAUGGAUCCCUUUUGAUUAUUCCUUUGAAUGGUGUAAAGCCCUAGUUAGAAUGUUAUAACCCACAACCCUUAGGUUGGAUAAACUUU